AUAAGAUUUCUUAUAGAUACGUUCAAAAAUAAACAAAGCGAUUUAACGCUAUAGUUGUAAUUGUGUAAAUUAAACAAAUUUACACAAAUGUAAAUAUUAUACGCAUGUACAUCUAUUAACAUGAACGAACGGAUAAGAAGGAACGAUUAGAAGAAAAUAAAUUCGUAGUACGAGGUGGGCGAGAAAGGGAGUGGUCUUAAUUUCCUGCCCCGACAUCAAGCUUGCGUUGAUUAUUAUAAGGACGAGAAAUGGAAUGAGGAGCGUCAAAAGGGUGACCAUUCGUUCCCAGCCAUUUCCUAGCAAUUUCCUGACGCUGUUUUUCAUGUGAACUUUUGAACUUGUUCCUCACCUCCUCUUCCCGCUAUCACUCCUUCCUUUCUACUUCUCUAUGACCAUUCCUUGUGUUCAGCCUACCAACCACUUUUCCACUAUAAAAUAUCCACUAAGUAGUCGUGGCUAGUGAAACUGGUCAGUUAUAAAUGGCCAUACGAAAAUAUAGUCGGCUUUUGCGGAUUGCACAGAUGUGGCUGGUAUCCUUAAUGCUUCUCUUGAACGUUCCGCGACGUUCACGCGAGAAUGUCUGCUUUUAAGAUAAACGAUCUUUUAGACGGAAACAAAAAUUAUGUAAUAUAUAUAUAAUAGAUAGAUAUGUACAUAUAUAAAGUAUAUGAAUAUAAGAAUGUUUAAAGGAUUCUGUACAUAGUUAUUUAAAUGGUUGCAAAUGCAUAUUACGUAGAAUAUUUUUCGUAAAUACAUCGGUACAUUACACAUAUACAUUUUAUUUUCAUACGGAAUAGGAAU